rnacentral:rRNA from 1 species
AGCGAACGCUGGCGGCAGGCUUAACACAUGCAAGUCGAAGGAGAAGCCGGACUUCGGUCCGGUGGAAACUGGCGCACGGGUGAGUAACGCGUGGGGAUAUGCCCAAAGGUACGGAAUAACUGCUGGAAACGGCAGCUAAUACCGUAUGCUCCCUCAGGGGAAAAGCUUCGGCGCCCUUGGAUUAUCCCGCGUCCGAUUAGCUUGUUGGUGAGGUAACGGCUCACCAAGGCGACGAUCGGUAGCUGGUCUGAGAGGACGAUCAGCCACACUGGGACUGAGACACGGCCCAGACUCCUACGGGAGGCAGCAGUGGGAAUAUUGGACAAUGGGGGCAACCCUGAUCCAGCCAUGCCGCGUGAGUGAAGAAGGCCUUAGGGUUGUAAAGCUCUUUCAGCGGGGAAGAUGAUGACGGUACCCGCAGAAGAAGCCCCGCUAACU